rnacentral:lncRNA from 1 species
AAAUAUAAAAAUUUGCAGAAGUAUUUUUAUUUUGCAGAGAAUUGUUUACCUUUAACCCCCGAGGGGGAGACGCGUACAGAGGCAUUAGUGGCGGUGUAGGAAAAGCUACCUUGUUCAGGAAAAGGAACGAUAGCUUCUAAACUGCUACCAUUACAGGGAAGUGCACCAGGAGGCUUUCUCUCCCACACAUCAGCGCGGGCGGAAUCUGGCAGCAGGAAGCCAUUGCCUUUGAAGAGAGUCCAGGGGAGCUUCGGAAGGAACAUGUGGGCCAGAAUCUGCCAGCCGCCUUUAUUACCUCCGGAACUGCCUCCGAGUUGCAGGGCCUAACAGACUCCCGUCAGAGAGACAGUUCCUGCAGGCCUCAGACCGCUUGCUCUUCAGCCCCAGGCAGCCCAUGUCUCCGUCGAAUCAUGACUGCAUAUCUCCACGGUGUGGGUAGAUCCCCGCCACCCGGCACCUGACCUGCGGAUUCAACCGAAUGUGGCGAGAUAACAGAGGACAAUGGAAAAUACACAGCAGUUCGGUGAUGAUCUGUGGUGUUUGAAGUUCACAAGUUUUUAUUAAUGUAUGUGAUACAAAGCAUUUAUAUUUUUUGGGGGAAUUGAUAUAAUAUGUAAUUCUAUAAUGCUCUAUAUUUGUAUAUUAUGUUAUUUUAUGUACACAUAACUUUGAUCAUUCUAGAUCCCUUUACCUCCCAACGCUGUCCCUUUCCCUUGGUCCCCUUUCUGCUGUUUCCUACAG